GAGACAGAAAUCCUCUAUUUAUCAAUAUUGCAGGUACAGCAUGAGUAUCAGCAAAGUAAGCUUCCCCACACCACAUCACUAUUGCACCUCAGCCCUGACUACCUCAAGUGAGUGAUCACUGGUAGAGGGGCAGAAGUAAUUAAUUCCUAACUUCUUUACUAAGAUUAC
rnacentral:sRNA from 1 species